rnacentral:rRNA from 1 species
UGAGCCUUGAUGUGUAGGAUAGGUGGGAGGCUUUGAAGUGUGGACGCCAGUCUGCAUGGAGCCGACCUUGAAAUACCACCCUUUAAUGUUUGAUGUUCUAACGUUGGCCCCUGAUCGGGGUUGCGGACAGUGUCUGGUGGGUAGUUUGACUGGGGCGGUCUCCUCCUAAAGAGUAACGGAGGAGCACGAAGGUUGGCUAAUCCUGGUCGGACAUCAGGAGGUUAGUGCAAUGGCAUAAGCCAGCUUGACUGCGAGCGUGACGGCGCGAGCAGGUGCGAAAGCAGGUCAUAGUGAUCCGGUGGUUCUGAAUGGAAGGGCCAUCGCUCAACGGAUAAAAGGUACUCCGGGGAUAACAGGCUGAUACCGCCCAAGAGUUCAUAUCGACGGCGGUGUUUGGCACCUCGAUGUCGGCUCAUCACAUCCUGGGGCUGAA